GCACAGCACUGUGGAGCAGGGAGCCCAGCAUCAGGGCUGGCAGUAGCUGGCAAUGAUGAUGAGGUCUUGGACCCCGUGCUUUCCCUGCUGUGAGCAUCAGUCUUUUCAACUUUCAGACAAGUCACUGUGGAUCUACCAACAGGUGCUGCCCUUGCUCCGAAACCUGGAGGAAGGCGACCCAGAUCAUCCAAGACGCACCAGACGGCCUGGACUUCCACACCAGGACAUCAGCCCAGCUCUGCAGCAGACUGGGGGAGGGGGAGAGAGAAAGGAGAGGCAGUGAUGUUCCUGAGAUCCAAGUGUUGAGUCAGGCUUUUGGAUUUGGGCAGAUAAUUCUGCCUGCUGCUCACUCAUCUGGGGUGAAUGUCAGAACAGUACAUGGAGCCAUUUGACUCUUUUCAGGUGUGCUGUAAGAUUUAGUAAACCUGGGACAGUGACAACAACAACAACAACAACAAAAUGCCCUGUGUCUCCCUCAACCCGCUCAUACAUAAAUGCAUACACCUAUAGACUUACAUUUAGCACCACAGCAUCCAGAUAAAGACUUGAGAAGCAGGUGCAGCCAUCCUGUCACUUACAGGCUUUCUGAGCCUUGGUUUCCCUCUGUGUAAAAUACUAGUAAUGGCAUCUACCUUCUGGAGCACAAAAGGCCUGCUACACAAUGGCCUCAUGCAUAAAGAUCUUACCUUAGCUGGUAACAAAAAAGGAGGCAGUGGUCCUUUCUUGCAUGUAAUCGGUCUUUGAUGCUAGGGAUGAGGAAUUCUAGGCACAUUAAAAUUUUCUGCUAAUAAAGUAAUAUAAGAUCCAGGACA
rnacentral:lncRNA from 1 species